GUCCAACUAUUAUCACGUGUUCCUGCAGACUGUUACACCAAUUAUUACAGUACAUAGGACAUGAGUAGGUUUACCGGAGGUACUUGAAUUGAAGAUAAUAUGUGAAUAGCUAUUGAAUUCAUCGAGUUCUAUAACAGUAUGUCAGUAUGUAAGGAUUAUUUUUGUUCAAGAACUUUGUUAAGCUAUUUCGAUAUACACAAUUCACAACCAAACCGUAAGUUACUUUUAUUUCAUUCAACAUAUUUGUUUUUGAACUAGUUGUGAUAUUAUACGCAUCCAUCAAAAUCGACACCAACAUUGCAGUUUAAACAGACAAAUGCGAAAUUAGACGAGCCCGACUGGUCAAAACUUUUCACCAACAGUGGUGCGUUUAGCUUGGUUAUCGUGAAUUGUACGUGCUGUAACCGUCUCUUAGACAUGGCACAAUAUCGACAACCAUGGUAUUUGGUUUAUACCGAGGCAACAAUUAAUAGUGGACGUUGACAGACAAACUAUACUCGUGGAACUCGGGCACACUUCAUAGACCAUAGUACCUACGGUAAUGUAAUCUAUGUAAACGUCCGAAAAGAAGUAAUGAUUGUAAUAAAUUGUGAUUUAUGACUGCAUUGUAAUUACUGUAGAUUAUGUAACUUGUCAAAAUACAAAUGACGAAUUAAUGUCGAUGGCAAAUGUUUAUAUUAUUAUUGAGAAGAGUCACGACUAUUGGUGUCUAUGGAUCGAAUAAUUUAAAAAACAAACUGAGCACUUUCUACAUAACGAGAGUUGACACAAUACUAUAGAAGGACAAUUAUUAUUUAUUAUUACAAGCGAUUUUGUUAUUUUUGUAUUACUUCGCGAGACUCGUCCCCGUGUUCCAAUAAAAAAGUAAAAGAUCAUAAAAAAAAAAAUUAACUUGAGUUUGUAAAAGCAUUCACAAAGGCUUGUUAACUAUCUAAAUGAGUCGACGUUAAGAACGUCAUAAGUUAUAAUUUAAUAGUUAACAAACAAUAUUAUAUUCAACUCUAAAGGUUUAAAGUUCAAUAAUAGGGAGAAAAAUAUCAGUUAACUUCACCCAUCCAAAAAUAAAAAUAAUGUUUUCAUCUACCUCUAGCGCUUUGGAUAAUCAGACGUUUCUGUAAAUUAAUUAUUAAAUCGAGAAAUAUUUGAUAUAAUGAACAUAAAUGGUAUGUUUAUUUUAAUUUUCAAAAUCAAUGUA